GCGGCGGACGGGUGAGUAAUGCUUGGGAAUAUGCCUUAGGGUGGGGGACAACAGUUGGAAACGACUGCUAAUACCGCAUAACGUCUACGGACCAAAGGGGGCUUCGGCUCUCGCCCUUAGAUUAGCCCAAGUGGGAUUAGCUAGUUGGUGAGGUAAUGGCUCACCAAGGCGACGAUCCCUAGCUGGUUUGAGAGGAUGAUCAGCCACACUGGAACUGAGACACGGUCCAGACUCCUACGGGAGGCAGCAGUGGGGAAUAUUGCACAAUGGGCGCAAGCCUGAUGCAGCCAUGCCGCGUGUGUGAAGAAGGCCUUAGGGUUGUAAAGCACUUUCAGUAAGGAGGAAAGGUUAGUAGUUAAUACCUGCUAGCUGUGACGUUACUUACAGAAGAAGCACCGGCUAACUCCGUGCCAGCAGCCGCGGUAAUACGGAGGGUGCGAGCGUUAAUCGGAAUUACUGGGCGUAAAGCGUACGCAGGCGGUUUGUUAAGCGAGAUGUGAAAGCCCCGGGCUCAACCUGGGAACUGCAUUUCGAACUGGCAAACUAGAGUAUGAUAGAGGGUGGUAGAAUUUCAGGUGUAGCGGUGAAAUGCGUAGAGAUCUGAAGGAAUACCGAUGGCGAAGGCAGCCACCUGGGUCAAUACUGACGCUCAUGUACGAAAGCGUGGGGAGCAAACGGGAUUAGAUACCCCGGUAGUCCACGCCGUAAACGAUGUCUACUAGGAGCUGGGGUCUUCGGACAACUUUUCCAAAGCUAACGCAUUAAGUAGACCGCCUGGGGAGUACGGCCGCAAGGUUAAAACUCAAAUGAAUUGACGGGGGCCCGCACAAGCGGUGGAGCAUGUGGUUUAAUUCGAUGCAACGCGAAGAACCUUACCUACACUUGACAUA
rnacentral:rRNA from 1 species